rnacentral:rRNA from 1 species
UAGUCUGGGAAACUGCCUGAUGGAGGGGGAUAACUACUGGAAACGGUAGCUAAUACCGCAUAAUGUCGCAAGACCAAAGUGGGGGACCUUCGGGCCUCAUGCCAUCAGAUGUGCCCAGAUGGGAUUAGCUAGUAGGUGGGGUAAUGGCUCACCUAGGCGACGAUCCCUAGCUGGUCUGAGAGGAUGACCAGCCACACUGGAACUGAGACACGGUCCAG